rnacentral:lncRNA from 1 species
CCUUCAUGGAGGGCCCAGCCAACCACUAAUGGGCCGGCCCAACUUGAUAAAGGCAAAAGAUAGAGUUCGGCUAGGGUUCCCCACGUGUUGUAAUCCGACUAGAUCUCAUCUAUAGUAACCGAUUAGGGUCCUGCCGUGUAACCCUACCCCUCGGAGUAUAUAAAGGGAGGUAGGGGUAUCCCUAGGAGGGGAACCGAUCCAAUCCCUCAACACAACAACCACACCUGAGCGCAGGGUGCGGU